rnacentral:rRNA from 1 species
UACGUAGGGUGCGAGCGUUAAUCGGAAUUACUGGGCGUAAAGCGUGCGCAGGCGGGUUUUUAAGCCAGACGUGAAAUCCCCGGGCUUAACCUGGGAAUGGCGUUUGGGACUGGAAGUCUGGAGUGCGGCAGAGGAGACUGGAAUUCCUGGUGUAGCAGUGAAAUGCGUAGAUAUCAGGAGGAACACCGAUGGCGAAGGCAGGUCUCUGGGCUGACACUGACGCUCAUGCACGAAAGCGUGGGGAGCAAACAGG